GAAUAGUCGGUAAUUUCUCUUUAUUGUAACCCAAUAGAUCACAAAAUGCAACCUGAGGUUUAAGCUGAGGGGUGGGGCGUUUGCAGAGGGCUGUGGUGGAGGUUAGAUUAGGUUUACAGAAGGCUGUGUGGUGGAGGUUAGGUUAGGUUUGCAGAAUGCUGUGUGGUGGAGGUUGGGUUAGGUUUGCAGAAGGCUGUGUGGUGGAGGUUAGGUUAGGUUUGCAGAGGGCUGUGGUGGAGGUUAGGUUAGGUUUACAGAAGGCUGUGUGGUGUGGAGGUUAGGUUAGGUUUGCAGAAGGCUGUGUGGUGGAGGUUGGGUUAGGUUUGCAGAAGGCUGUGUGGUGGAGGUUGGGUUAGGUUUGCAGAAGGCUGUGUGGUGGAGGUUGGGUUAGGUUUGCAGAAGGCUGUGUGAUGGAGGUUAGGUUAGGUUUACAGAAGGCUGUGUGGUGGAGGUUAGGUUAGGUUUGCAGAGGGCUGUGUGGUGGAGGUUAGGUUAGGUUUGCAGAGGGCUGUGUGGUGGAGGUUAGGGUCGGUUUGCAGAAGGCUGUGGUGGAGGGUAGGUCACGUUUGCAGAGGGCUGUGUAAUGGAGGUUACCUUAGGUUUACAGAAGGCUGUGUGGUGGAGGUGGGGCCUUCUCCCUGCCCCAGGGUGGUCCCAUGCAGCCCGCAAAACACCCAUGUUCGGCACGGGUCCAGUGACCUCAGCAGGGAGGCAGCUCCCUGAUUACAAGACCAACUUUUGUUCUUGGACCAAAGCUGAUUUUGCCUUCUCUGUAGGAUAAUUGCGCAAAAGGUCACCAGAGUCAUUCUGAAAGCAGCAGGAGUUCUGAGGCUUCUGUUCGCUCCAAUUUACUUAACAAAGGGCGUUCAGGUGGAUUUGUUCGGGCUGCGCUUUAUGAUUCUCUGAAAAUUAAAAAUCCUUCCUGUGAUGUAACCAUGUGGCAGACGGAGAAUCUGCCUCAAUGUAGGAGUUAAAGAUUUGAACUCCAAGUUCAUUUCUG
rnacentral:lncRNA from 1 species